rnacentral:miRNA from 1 species
GGUCGUGGUCGUGAUCACUGACUGGGUCCUGAUUCUAAUAAUUGUGUCCUGGUUCUGGUCCUGGUCACUGUGCCCUGG